GACCCCUGCCCUGCCCUGGGGGCGGGGGGAAGAACCCUCGUCUCCUGUGUCCCUGUGGGGAGAAGAGCCCGGCCCUGCGGGAUCCCCCGGGAAGGGCUGUUCCCCAUGGGAUCCCCACAACUUGCGGGAGGAUGGAGAGUGCCAAGCCCUGCUAGGGGAAGAAGAGCCCUGGCUUCCUAAGGGUCCCCCAACUCUUUAGAGGAAAUCUCUUAAUUCCCCCUAAAGGAGUGACGUGGCACCAGCUCUCCAUCUUCCUGGUUUCUCUGGCACAGCUAGUACUGACCACCACCAGAGAUGUUCAUCAGAUACAGGAUGGAAAUUCCUAUGUUUCUACAUCAUGAUGGGCCAAUGAAGAUGACAGAAUACGCAGAAAAGGCAAAACUGUCAAAAUGAGAGUGAAAACGCUAAGGAAAAGAUUAUAUAAAUGAUAGCAAUGCAAGCAACUCAACAAGUGAAUCAAACAACUGAAUCAAAAUAUAUCUUAUUUGUUAGAAUAAAAAGUGUUUGGGCACUAGUUUAAGUGAUACCUGUACUUUGAACUUGAAUAAUUAGAAGCUAUCCUGAUUGCCAUUUUUAUAUAAACCAUAGAUGCAAAGUUUUCCAUACUAAAGCUAUCAUUGUUUGCCAUAGCUUCAUGGAAUAAUGUUAGCCUUGUGCAGAUGUUUCCUGACUUUUGCAUCCAUGAUGUGUUAGCCAUUUGAUCUGUCAUUAACAAGGUAGAUACCUUUUUGCACAUUAAUUUAUAAAUAUACAAACAAAUUCCACAGAUUCUAUUUAAUGAAAAUUGUUAUGCUAUUGCCAGUGAAAGUGUAUUAAGUUUUACAAACAGCAGGGUAGGCAAACUAGUGUGGGUGUGGGGGGGGAUCUUACACCAUUUGAAGUGUGGCAGAAAUGUAUUGCAUAUGUUCUGAAGCACGCUUGGUCAUGAUGGUUUGUAUCUCAGCCUGAAUGCUAUUUUCACUUAGGUAAAUUUGGGUGUAUAUAUUUGUUGUUUCUCUUGAAACAGGAGGUUCUUGCACUUUGAUAAAUGGAUUGAAAGGUU